rnacentral:piRNA from 1 species
UCAAGGUGCUUUGUCUGACUGAAGCUGUGU